AGAUAUUUCUACUACGCCGUCUGAUGCAAGGGGACGAACUGCAUCCCAAAACUAUCCUUGCUAAUAAUUAUCGCCCUCCUCAGCCUCUCUACAACCGUUCCGUCCGAACAAAUGUGUUUAACCAUGACAUCGGGGACAACAAGUGUUUUGAUUCAAGGAAAUUGUUUUAUAGAGGUAACGUUGGCAUGGUGAACUGGAUCGAAUGAAGAUAACCGGCUCUAAAUUGCGCAAAUUUACAAGAAAUUACAGAAAUUAUUGACGGAUUAUUAGAUGUACAUUACCUGCAUAUCAGUGUAUCCUAUAAAGAGUUUAUGUGCAUGAGCCACCAAAGAAUUCAAAACAUAAGUUUUUCUUGCAACAGAGCGACCACUUUUUAUCUGUCUCAUUAAAGUUCUUCUAGUAUUUAUAUGAAGAAAAGCAUUUUUCAGUAAGACUAUAAGAUUUUGAUUAUGAAGGCAGGUUCCUCAUAUAAAAUAAUUCAUGAGAUUUAUUAGAAUCGGAAACAAUUACCGAAUUAAAAAAGAACUUCGGGACAGUUAUAUGUUAUUUAUAGACUUAUCUCAGCAAAUUUUGUAUAAUUCAUAAUCUUGAUUAGUUUUAUAACUCUUUCGACUGAAUGCCAAUACACAAAGUACAUCCGCUAAGUAGCAUACAAUUGGUAAAUGACAUCUUUUAUGAAAGUUUUGAGGUAUUACUUUGCAUUUCUAAACUCAAACUUUCAGAAUAUCGUAAGAAAAUCUAAGAAAGUUAUUGAUGUUUCUAUUUCGGAUACGUGAGUGGGCUUUUGAAUGCAUCAAUCAUCAUAGCAAAUAUAUUUGUAGGUGUAACAAAAAUAUUUAUAGAUGUUAUGUCGUUAAGAAAUCUCCAAAUCCGAUGUCUACAUUGCAAUUCUUAUCCGUUUUCGACUGAGGCACAAAUGUGAGUUGAUGUUAAAUUUCAUGGUAUAAAUAUUUAUUGUGAGAAAGACAUAAGAAGUGUUUGCUUCUGUCUGAUAUGAAAUGAACAGAGAGGAGAGGAAAAAAUUAUACUGAUACUCUUAUAAAGUAUAGUAAUUAUGAAUCUAAAGGAUUUAUCUUCAAGAUUAUAUAAUAUUGAAUACCUUUAAAGGCACAGUUUUAAAAAGCAUUAAAGUAAAAUUUGUGAUAAAUAAUGUGAAUAGGAAGUUACGCAAAAAAUGUAUUAAAAACAGUUUUGCCAUGUUUCUACUGCAAAACGCACAUGUUUUUAAUCAUUAUCUUGGACUUACCUCUGCGCAUUUCAUAUCAAAAAGUUAAAUAUUUUAAUGCACAUAUAUCUCAUAUACAAGACAAAAAGUACCAUGAGUUACUUUUCUAAUGAUGGAAGUAUUAGCUGAAAGCAUUUCUAUUACCAUAUCUUGAUAUGAGAGAUUAUCACAUAUCGUUGUGCAAAAAAGUAUUGUGGUGUGUUCGACUGUUCGUUUGUACUAUUUCCAGUAGUUAAAAUUGUGAGAAUGUUUGAAGAUUUUUCGUUUCGUUUUUGGAAAUGCUAACUGUAUUUAUAACAUUAUAUUUAGGUAUCCGAUUGAAAAAACAAUGUAUUACCAUGAGUACGUGACUGAUGUUUUCUGAAAGGAAUUAUUUUAAGCAAAAUCAUAAAUAUUCAACUAAUUUAUCAACCUGGUACAUGCAUGAAAUUACAUAAUAAACACUACAAAACAUACAAAUAAUGAAUAUACAGCCAAAUCCACUUAAGAAGUUUCCGUUUUUAAAGUAAGUAUAAAUUAAAGUUUGUAAAACAGCUUCUCAAGCAACUGCACUCUUUCUAAUGGAAGAGACUUUAUGAUUCAGAAUUGAAAUUUUUCAUUUUUUGGUUAUUAUGUUUUAAGUUAAGAACUUUUAGUAGCUUAAAAAAUAACGAUGUUCAAAUUUCAGGUGUGAAAACUACAUGCCUACUAUAACAGAAUAGAUGAAAUUACUUAAGUAUCUUUUCUUCACCGAAAACUUUACACUGAAUUUCAAAUUACAAACUAAUUCCGAUUUUAAAUUUCAGCAUGAGUGAGCCAAUUUUGAAACACUGUCUCAAAAUUUAAAAACUAUAGAAGAAAAACAUGUCUUUCAACUUCGCUCGGUGUCAGUUUGAGAGACUUUUUCCACUUAUUUAGUUUCCACACUCUUUUUCAAAUAAACAUGAACAUGAAUAUUCAAAGUUUUCUUCAUCUGCGUUCACUCUGAAAUUCAAAAUGAAAUUUUAAUUUUACGAAAUCAACUUCCACCAUAUGCACUGACACUCCUUCAAUUUAGAUUUCAAAUUCGCUUUUGAAAUUUGCAUGUUUUAGCAAAUUCUUAUUCCUGUUUUAGAGUUAUUUAUCUCAUGAAAGAUACUACAAUCAAUUAAGAACUGGUGUCUGUUUUAAUUUUCGAUUAUACUUUUCAACUUUUGCAAAACAUUUCCGACAAAAUGCUUUUAAAACAUUCAUUUUAUCCAACAUGUUUUAAAAUUUCUAAAAUAUUUUGCAUAGCUUCCAGGCUUAUUUAUUUCUUCUCCCAUUAAAUGCAGCAUUUUAAUAUUUUUGCAAGAAAUUAUUCUUAUUUUUUCAUCUAUAAUUAGAUAGAGCUAUUUAAAUUCUUUCUUAUUAACGACGAUUAGUGUAAUUAUUGUUCUUUGCGUCUGACACAACCAGUUUUCUCUUUGCGAAAAUGUCUUGCUUGAAUUUUACAGUAAUAACGCCACAAGCAUUUCAUUGCAUUUUGUGAGAUUUUAACCUGUGUAAAAAUAUACUUUUCUAAGAAUAAUAUCAAUCUAAUUUUCCUGUCUUAUAAUAAUAAACAUUUCCUACAGCAUAUAUUUAAUUCUGGUGAUAUUAAGGUUCUGUCAGUGAGGUUUUUAACAAACGUGCAAUAUUUGUCUUAUUAUUACAUUUGAAAGCUAGGCGUGCCGUUUUAGGAGGCUUUUAUCACUUUAUAAGAUUUCAUGUAAAUCUUGCAAUUAGCAACAAGAAGUUAUAUUGUGAGAAAUACCUAAUCACAAAAUUCUUCAGAAUAACUUCUAAAAUGAAAACAUAGCUAAGUUCAUAAAAAAAGGAUAAAUUAACUUUUCUUAAUUUUUAAUAUAAGGCCUUAACAAGGUUUGACAAUAAAACAUAAAUGAAUCAUAUUUAUAUAAACACCCCUAAUUAAGGUGUAAAAAUUGAAAUGGGAAACUUUGCAUCAAAUUGUAACAAAGAAAUUUUUAAUAAUUAAAAUAUGUGUAAGAAUUAUUAAUCUGACUCAAAUCACAUAAUAAUUUGUGAUAUAAUAGUGCUAAAGCUUUUAAAAUUUUGUAUUAUUUGUAAUUUUAAAAUUUGUAAUGUAUUGAUUUAGUAAUAGUAAUGACUGAAAAGUAAAAAAAAAAUGUUAAAUAGAUAGAAAUGAUUUUGCAAAAGGCAUAUUAAAUCUGUUAUAUACCUUCCACUUAUUUUCAAACGGAAGAACGAAUAAAUUAUUUAGUUAAUUUUUAAAUGCAGUAUUUAUUGAUAAUUGCGUUUAAAUUAAGAUAAUAUUGUUUAAUUAAUGUACAUUCCAGUUAUUUUACGUUAAUGUUGUACUCUCUAAUGCUUUCUACAUUAUUUUGUUUAAAUUCGCGCAAUUUAUUAAAUAGUUUUAGAAUAUUUUAAUAGUUCUCAUCUGAACAGAUUUACAAGUCAAUUAAAAACUGAGCAUCUUGUAAACUGAAUGUACGAAUGCGAAAUAUAUGAAAUAUAUCAACAGCAUAUCAAUAAUAUUUUUGACAUUAAAAUGAGUGAGCAAAUAAAAUGAGGAGCUUCUAAAUGAAUUGUCAUAGGAUUCUGAGACAGAAGAAAGGAACCAAUAAUUUAUUAUUUUUCAAGUUGAACGGAAAUUUAAAAAGUGCAGCCAUUUCAGUCCAUAAAAUUUUCAAAGAGGGGAUGGAUUUUUAAUGGAGGCAUUAGCAAAAGAAGCGAAAAUUUUACCCUCUUUGUAAUGUUUCAAUCCAUUAUCAGUAUCUUCAAUUGCAUCCAUGUUUCAAUGAACCGCAGUACUUACAAAGUGCUUCUGUUUAAAAUGAAAGAUAUAUCUUUGGCUAUCCAGUAAAAUAAAACUUUUUCUCUUGUUCUUAUCGAGUAUAUACCUGCACAAAAGCAAGAAGAGGAAAGAAAGAAUAAUCAGUGGUUUCCUGCUUCGCAACCUAUUAAAGGAGAAAUGCAUUCUGAUCUGCGAAUUCUUUUCAGUGGGAAACGUCUCUAAUUUUCUAGCGUUCAUUAAUUUAAAAUCAGCACAAUUAAUUAUUGUUUCAGUGCCCUGACAGUUUGGUGAUACAGUGUGUUACAUCAAACUAACGGUCAGGGUAUCUACUGAUUUAUUUUAUAUAAAGAUAAAGUAUAAUGUCUCCUGAUUUGUUUACGUUAAAACCUGUAUUCGUCACAUCAUGGAAAUUAACAACAUUGUUAUUUAUUUAAUGUUCUAAAGAUAGGCAAGAAUAAUAUAUUCUUCAAUACUCACAAUUGAAGAAUACUAUUGCCAAAUCACAAUUUUGAGCUCUUGUACAUGUAUGCUUUGUAUCACAUGUUAGUGUAUUGAGUAAUAAAGUACCGUGUGCAGUAUA